rnacentral:rRNA from 1 species
AUUGAACGCUGGCGGCAUGCCUUACACAUGCAAGUCGAACGGCAGCACGGGAGCUUGCUCCUGGUGGCGAGUGGCGAACGGGUGAGUAAUACAUCGGAACGUACCCUGAAGUGGGGGAUAACGUAGCGAAAGUUACGCUAAUACCGCAUAUUCUGUGAGCAGGAAAGAGGGGGAUCGCAAGACCUCUUGCUUUAGGAGCGGCCGAUGUCGGAUUAGCUAGUUGGUGAGGUAAAGGCUCACCAAGGCGACGAUCCGUAGCGGGUCUGAGAGGAUGAUCCGCCACACUGGGACUGAGACACGGCCCAGACUCCUACGGGAGGCAGCAGUGGGGAAUUUUGGACAAUGGGCGCAAGCCUGAUCCAGCCAUUCCGCGUGCAGGAUGAAGGCCUUCGGUUGUAAACUGCUUUGUACGGUACGAAACGGUGAGCUCUAAUACAGUUUGCUAAUGACGGUACCGUAAGAA